CAACAGGGCAUUGCCUUAGUAACGGCGAGUGAAGCGGCAAAAGCUCAAAUUUGAAAUCUGGCACCUUCGGUGUCCGAGUUGUAAUUUGAAGAAGGUAACUUUGGGAUUGGCUCUUGUCUAAGUUCCUUGGAACAGGACGUCACAGAGGGUGAGAAUCCCGUGCGAUGAGAUGACCAAUUCUAUGUAAAGUGCUUUCGAAGAGUCGAGUUGUUUGGGAAUGCAGCUCUAAGUGGGUGGUAAAUUCCAUCUAAAGCUAAAUAUUGGCGAGAGACCGAUAGCGAACAAGUACAGUGAUGGAAAGAUGAAAAGAACUUUGAAAAGAGAGUGAAAAAGUACGUGAAAUUGUUGAAAGGGAAGGGCUUGAGAUCAGACUUGGUAUUUUGCAUUCCUUACCUUCGUGGUGGGGUUCCUUGCAGUUUACUGGGCCAGCAUCGG
rnacentral:rRNA from 1 species